rnacentral:lncRNA from 1 species
CAUAAAUCACAUGUGUACCGGUACAACCAUCAAGGUGUAAUCGGUACACUUUCUGUACCGGUACAAUCAUCAAGGUGUACUGGUAUACAAUUUCGCAGAAGACAACCCGAGAGCAGCCUAAGUCCUCCACUUUGGUUACCUUAGCGCUACUUUAAAUACCUUAUUUCUCGGGAUACGAGACAUAGGUCGGAACACUGUCAACGACCCUCCAGAAUAUCUGAAAAAACUCAAAACACAGAUCAAACACUCGAACCUCACAAUUUACAAAGGUCCAGUGUGUUACAUGGAUAGUGACCAGAUU